rnacentral:rRNA from 1 species
GAUGAACGCUGGCGGCGUGCCUAAUACAUGCAAGUCGAACGGGGAGUAGCAAUACUCUUAGUGGCGAACGGGUGAGUAACGCGUUGGUACCUGCCCCGAAGCGGGGGAUAACGGACCGAAAGGUCCGCUAAUACCCCAUGUGCUCGGUAACGAGUAAAGGUGAAAACCACUUUGGGAGGGGCCUGCGUCCCAUCAGCUAGUUGGUAAGGUAACGGCUUACCAAGGCGAUGACGGGUAGGGGACCUGGGAGGGUGGCCCCCCACAAUGGAACUGAAACACGGUCCAGAAACCUACGGGUGGCAGCAGUAGGGAAUAUUGGAAAUGGGCGCAAGCCUGAACCAGCAACGGCGCGUGAGCGAUGACGGCCUUCGGGUUGUAAAGCACUUUUGACCGGGACGAGGAAGGACGGUACCGGUCGAAUCAGCCUCGGCUAACUACGUG